UGGGGAAUAUUGCACAAUGGGCGCAAGCCUGAUGCAGCCAUGCCGCGUGUGUGAAGAAGGCCUUCGGGUUGUAAAGCACUUUCAGCGAGGAGGAAGGUGGUGGACUUAAUACGUUCAUCAAUUGACGUUACUCGCAGAAGAAGCACCGGCUAACUCCGUGCCAGCAGCCGCGGUAAUACGGAGGGUGCAAGCGUUAAUCGGAAUUACUGGGCGUAAAAGCGCACGCAGGCGGUUUGUUAAGUCAGAUGUGAAAUCCCCGGGCUCAACCUGGGAACUGCAUUUGAAACUGGCAAGCUAGAGUCUCGUAGAGGGGGGUAGAAUUCCAGGUGUAGCGGUGAAAUGCGUAGAGAUCUGGAGGAAUACCGGUGGCGAAGGCGGCCCCCUGGACGAAGACUGACGCUCAGGUGCGAAAAGCGUGGGGAGCAAAACAGGAUUAGAUACCCUGGUAGUCCACGCUGUAAAACGAUGUCGAUUUUGGAGGUUGUGCCCUUGAGGCGUGGCUUCCGGAGCUAACGCGUUAAAAUCGACCGCCUGGGGAGU
rnacentral:rRNA from 1 species